rnacentral:rRNA from 1 species
AUUGAACGCUGGCGGCAUGCCUUACACAUGCAAGUCGAACGGCAGCACGGGUGCUUGCCCCUGGUGGCGAGUGGCGAACGGGUGAGUAAUACAUCGGAACAGGUCCUGAAGGGGGGGAUAGCCCGGCGAAAGCCGGAUUAAUACGGCAUACGAUCUACGGAUGAAAGAGGGGGACCUUCGGGCAUCGAGCUAUAGGGUUGGCCGAUGGCGGAGUAGCAAGUUGGUGGGGUAAAGGCCUACCAAGACGACGACGAGGAGCUGGUCUGAGAGGAGGACCAGCCACACUGAGACUGAGGCACGGUCCACACUCCUACGGCAGGCACCAGUCGGAAAUUUUGGCCAAUGGGAGCAGGCCUGAACCAGCAAUGCCGCGUGUGUGCAUGAGGCCGUCGCGUUGUGAAGGACAUUUGUCCGGAAGGAAAUCAAUGCCCCUACUACAGUCAGGAUAUGACCGUACCCGAAGGAUAAGCCCACGCUAACUUCCUG